GGGUAUAUAGGUCAUUGGUAGAGUGCAUGCCUAACAUACAUGAAGUCCUGGGUUCAAACCCCAGUACCUCUA
rnacentral:tRNA from 1 species